rnacentral:rRNA from 1 species
UACGGGGGGGGCAAGCGUUGUUCGGAAUUACUGGGCGUAAAGGGCCCGUAGGUGGUCAACUAAGUCAUACGUGAAAUCCCUCGGCUUAACCGGGGAACUGCGCCUGAUACUGGGUGGCUUGAAUCCGGGAGAGGGAUGCGGAAUUCCAGGUGUAGCGGUGAAAUGCGUAGAUAUCUGGAGGAACACCGGUGGCGAAGGCGGCAUCCUGGACCGGUAUUGACGCUGAGGCGCGAAAGCCAGGGGAGCAAACGGG